GGAAGUAAAAGUCGUAACAAGGUUUCCGUAGGUGAACCUGCGGAAGGAUCAUUAAAAAAUUGGACUCCAUUGGUGAGUUCAUUAAUAAUCCUACCCUUUGUGAAUUUGUUUGUUUGAAUAAUUUUUUUUCCAAAAAAAAUUAUUGAAUGUCUUUCCCUGUUUUGGUGGAGCUUGUAAAGUGAAACCAGGCAGGGGAAUGGCAAACAAUAAUUAUUUUUGAAAAAGACCUUUUUUAAAAUUAAACUUUUUGUACUCAUUUGUCUAAAAUUAUUUUUAUAAUAUAAAAACAACUUUUGACAAUGGAUCUCUUGGUUCUCGCAACGAUGAAGAACGCAGCAAAAUGCGAUAAGUAGUGUGAAUUGCAGAAUACGUGAAUCAUCGAAUCUUCGAACGCAUAUUGCACUUUUUUAGUUUACUAAAAAAGUAUGUCUGUUUGAGUAUCAGUAAAAUAUUCUCAUAAAAAAUUUAUUUUUUAUGGUUAUGAGUGUUUUACAACGAUAACAAGUUGUUUCACUUUAAAUUCUUUGUUAUCAAAAAAAUCAUUAAAAGCUAAUUUUAAAGAUUUUUUAAAAUUGGAUAAAAUUUUCCCGUAAAAAGGAAUAACCUAAACAAUUUUAAAAAAUUAAAAUUGGUUUGAUUUUUCUUGAUUUAAAAAGGAAAAAAAAGUAAAAAUUAACUUGAUCUCAAAUCAGAUAAGAGUACCCGCUGAACUUAAGCAUAUCAAUAAGCGGAGGAAAAGAAACUAACUAGGAUUCCCUCAGUAACGGCGAGUGAAGCGGGAAGGGCUCAAAUUUGAAAUCUUCAAGGUUUUACCUUGACGAAUUGUAGUUUAAAGAAGUGUUUUCUGUUGAGUUUUGGUAAAAGUUCUUUGGAAUAGGACAUCAUAGAGGGUGAGAAUCCCGUAUUUGACCAUUAUCUCCAGCUUUGUGAUACACUUUCAAAGAGUCGGAUUGUUUGGGAAUGCAGUCCAAAAUGGGUGGUAAAUUUCAUCUAAAGCUAAAUACUGGCGAGAGACCGAUAGCGAACAAGUACCGUGAGGGAAAGAUGAAAAGAACUUUGAAAAGAGAGUUAAACAGUACGUGAAAUUGUCAAAAGGGAAGCGUUUGACACCAGUGUUGUUUUCUCGAAAAUCAAUUAAAAAAAGUUGGAUUUUGUGUUGUAUUGACCUUAACAGCUUGCUUCACUCUUUUCUUGCUUUUUUAAUGCACUUUUCGUUUAACAAGUCAACAACAGUUUCUUUUGUUGUAAAAGGGUCAUUGGAAGGUGGCUUUCUCUUCGGAGAAAGUGUUUAUAGCCUUUGAUCUCUGCAAUCGGAGAGACUGAGGUCUGCAGCGUAGAUCCUUCGGGUUAGAUACAUUUGUGCUAAGCUACAGCUUUUCAUAGACAACUUGUUGACUAUGUUUAGUCUUG
rnacentral:misc_RNA from 1 species